rnacentral:rRNA from 1 species
GAGUUUGAUCGUGGCUCAGAGCGAACGCUGGCGGCAGGCUUAACACAUGCAAGUCGAGCGGGCCCUUCGGGGUCAGCGGCGGACGGGUGAGUAACGCGUGGGAACGUGCCUUCUGGUUCGGAAUAACCCUGGGAAACUAGGGCUAAUACCGGAUACGCCCUUUUGGGGAAAGGUUUACUGCCGGAAGAUCGGCCCGCGUCUGAUUAGCUAGUUGGUGGGGUAAUGGCCUACCAAGGCGACGAUCAGUAGCUGGUCUGAGAGGAUGAUCAGCCACACUGGGACUGAGACACGGCCCAGACUCCUACGGGAGGCAGCAGUGGGGAAUAUUGGACAAUGGGCGCAAGCCUGAUCCAGCCAUGCCGCGUGAGUGAUGAAGGCCUUAGGGUUGUAAAGCUCUUUUAUCCGGGACGAUAAUGACGGUACCGGAGGAAUAAGCCCCGGCUAACUUCGUGCCAGCCGCCGCCGUAAG